AAAGGGUUUCAUAUCUAAGGGUUGUGAUAGGNCUUUUGGGUAUGAAACCCAUUUGGGCGAGAGUAGUACUAGGAUGGGUGACCUCCUGGGAAGUCCUCGUGAAAGGGUUUC
rnacentral:rRNA from 1 species